UACGUAGGGGGGCUAGCGUUGUCCGGAAUCAUUGGGCGUAAAGCGCGCGUAGGCGGCCCGGUAAGUCCGCUCUGAAAGUCCAGGGCUCAACCCUGGAAAGCGGGUGGAUACUGCCGGGCUAGAAUCCGGAAGAGGCGACUGGAAUUCCUGGUGUAGCGGUGAAAUGCGCAGAUAUCAGGAGGAACACCGGUGGCGAAGGCGGGUCUCGUGGGCCGUAACUGACGCUGAGGAGCGAAAGCAUGGGGAGCGAACAGG
rnacentral:rRNA from 1 species